UACGGAGGGUGCAAGCGUUAAUCGGAAUUACUGGGCGUAAAGCGCACGCAGGUGGCUGAGUCAGUCGAUUGUGAAAGCCCUGGGCUUAACCUGGGAAUUGCAGUCGAUACUACUCGGCUAGAGUAUGGGAGAGGGAAGUGGAAUUCCAGGUGUAGCGGUGAAAUGCGUAGAUAUCGGGAGGAACACCUGUGGCGAAGGCGGCCAUCUGGACGGUAACUGACGCUGAGACGCGAAAGCGUGGGUAGCAAACAGG
rnacentral:rRNA from 1 species